rnacentral:rRNA from 1 species
UUAAAUGGCCGCAGUAAAUUGACUGUGCUAAGGUAGCAUAAUCAUUAGUUUUUUAAUUGAAAGCUGGAAUGAAGGGUUGGAUGAAAAAAUAGCUGUCUUUAAUUGAUUAUUUUAUAAUUUUAUAUUUAAGUUAAAAAGCUUAAAUGUUUUUAAAAGACGAGAAGACCCUAUAGAGUUUAAUAUUUUUAUUAUUAUUUAAUUAUAUAAUAUAAUUAUUUAAUUGGGGUGAUUAAAAAAUAUAGUUAACUUUUUUUUUAUUUUAAUAUAGAUUAAUAGUUAUAUGAUCCAAUUAUUUUGAUUAAAAGAAUAAAUUACCUUAGGGAUAACAGCGUAAUUUUAUUUUAAAGUU